ACGGGUGAGUAACACGUGAGUAACCUGCCCUUCUCAUCGGAAUAAGCGUUGGAAACGACGUCUAAUGCCGAAUACGACUUCGGAAGGCAUCUUCUGAAGUGGAAAGCUCCGGCGGAGAAGGAUGGACUCGCGGCCUAUCAGCUAGUUGGUGAGGUAACGGCUCACCAAGGCGACGACGGGUAGCCGGCCUGAGAGGGUGACCGGCCACACUGGGACUGAGACACGGCCCAGACUCCUACGGGAGGCAGCAGUGGGGAAUAUUGGACAAUGGGCGCAAGCCUGAUCCAGCAACGCCGCGUGAGGGAUGACGGCCUUCGGGUUGUAAACCUCUUUCAGCAGGGACGAAGCGAAAGUGACGGUACCUGCAGAAGAAGGACCGGCCGACUACGUGCCAGCAGCCGCGGUAAUACGUAGGGUCCGAGCGUUGUCCGGAAUUAUUGGGCGUAAAGGGCUCGUAGGCGGUUAGUCGCGUCGGGAGUGAAAACUCAGGGCUCAACCCUGAGCGUGCUUCCGAUACGGGCUGACUAGAGGUAUGCAGGGGAGAACGGAAUUCCUGGUGUAGCGGUGGAAUGCGCAGA
rnacentral:rRNA from 1 species